rnacentral:rRNA from 1 species
GAUGAACGCUAGCGGCAGGCUUAAUACAUGCAAGUCGAGGGGCAUCAAGGUACACGAAAGUGUAUUGUUGGCGACCGGCGGACGGGUGAGUAAUAGGUAGGUAACCUACCUCAUACUGAGGCAUAGCUGGGAGAAAUUCCAGGUAAUUCCUCAUGAGGUUAUAUGACACAUGUGAUAUAAUCAAAGGUAUCGCAAGGUACUGGUAUGAGAUGGGCUUACUGGCCAUUAGCUAGUUAGUGAGAUAAGAGCUCACCAAGGCGAAGAUGGUUAGGGGUUUUGAGAGAGAGAUCCCCCACAUUGGAACUGAGAUACGGUCCAGACUCCUACGGGAGGCAGCAGUAGGGAAUAUUGGGCAAUGGGCGGAAGCCUGACCCAGCCAUGCCGCGUGAAGGAAGACGGCCUUAUGGGUUGUAAACUUCUUUACUAUGCGACUAACUAGAUUUACGAGAUAAUUCUAUAGAGUGUAGCAUAGCAAAAAGCACCGG